rnacentral:rRNA from 1 species
GAUGAACGCUGGCGGCGUGCCUAAUACAUGCAAGUCGAGCGAAUGGAUUAAGAGCUUGCUCUUAUGAAGUUAGCGGCGGACGGGUGAGUAACACGUGGGUAACCUGCCCAUAAGACUGGGAUAACUCCGGGAAACCGGGGCUAAUACCGGAUAACAUUUUGAACCGCAUGGGUCGAAAUAGAAGGGCGGCUUCGGCUGUCACUUAUGGAUGGACUCGCGCCGCAUUAGCGAGUUGGUGAGGUAACGGCCCACCAAGGCAACGAAGCGUAGCCGACCUGAGAGGGUGAUCGGCCACACUGGGACUGAGACACGGCCCAGACUCCUACGGGAGGCAGCAGUAGGGAAUCUUCCGCAAUGGACGAAAGUCUGACGGAGCAACGCCGCGUGAGUGAUGAAGGCUUUCGGGUCGUAAAACUCUGUUGUUAGGGAAGAACAAGUGCUAGUUGAAUAAGCUGGCACCUUGACGGUACCUAACCAGAAAGCCACGGCUAACUACGUGCCAGCCGCCGCCGUAA